AGUUAAAUAUUUGGAACAGGUGCCAAGGCCUAGUUGCUAGGCUGGCCUAACAUGAGAAACCGGUUAAAGGCCGGUACGGUCCCGCCACUGUAUCAGGGAAUCAGGCGUUACUAUAUGUCACUGGAGUAUUCUGGGAAGGCAACGCCACGGUUAUGAUCUGGAGUCAGGAGAACUGCCUGUUGAACAAUCACCGU
rnacentral:ncRNA from 1 species